GACGAACGCUGGCGGCGUGCUUAACACAUGCAAGUCGAGCGGUAAGGCCCUUUCGGGGUACGACGAGCGGCGAACGGGUGAGUAACACGUGGGUGACCUGCCCUCAGCUCUGGGAUAAGCCUGGGAAACCGGGUCUAAUACUGGAUAUGACUCCAUGACGCAUGUUGUGGGGUGGAAAGCCUUGUGCGGCUGAGGAUGGGCCCGCGGCCUAUCAGCUUGUUGGCGGGGUGANGGCCUACCAAGGCGACGACGGGUAGCCGGCCUGAGAGGGCGACCGGCCACACUGGGACUGAGACACGGCCCAGACUCCUACGGGAGGCAGCAGUGGGGAAUCUUGCGCAAUGGGCGAAAGCCUGACGCAGCGACGCCGCGUGAGGGAUGACGGCCU
rnacentral:rRNA from 1 species